rnacentral:rRNA from 1 species
GGAACUUUCAACAACGGAUCUCUUGGCUCUCGCAUCGAUGAAGAACGCAGCGAAAUGCGAUAAGUAAUGUGAAUUGCAGAAUUCAGUGAAUCAUCGAAUCUUUGAACGCACCUUGCGCUCUUUGGUAUUCCGAAGAGCAUGCCUGUUUGAGUGUCAU